rnacentral:sRNA from 1 species
GAUUGCGGCGACGUGGGCGGUUCGCUGCCCGCGACGUUGUGAGAAGUCCACUGAACCUUAUCAUUUAGAGGAAGGAGAAGUCGUAACAAGGUUUCCGUAGGUGAACCUGCGGAAGGAUCAUUGUCGAUGCCUCACAAUCAGAUUGACCGGCGAAUUUGUUUACCCAUCCAGGGUCGGCUUGGGGUGUUGUUCGGCAACAUCUCAUCCUCCCUUGCGUUGGGAGGGGGUCGUGCCUCGCUCGGCCCACUCUCAACAAACACAAACCCCGGCGCAUCGCGCGCCAAGGAAUCCAAAAUUGUUCAGUGCAGUCCCGGGGGACCCGGAGACGGCGUUCCCCCGGUUCUUGCCACGACACACGAUACAAAAUGACUCUCGGCAACGGAUAUCUCGGCUCUUGCAUCGAUGAAGAACGUAGCGAAAUGCGAUACUUGGUGUGAAUUGCAGAAUCCCGUGAACCAUCGAGUCUUUGAACGCAAGUUGCGCCCGAAGCCAUUAGGUUGAGGGCACGCCUGCCUGGGUGUCACACAUCGUUACCUCACGCAAAUGUCUCGCGUUGGCCAGCCAUUGCGCAGGGUGCACGCUGACUUCCCGCGAGCGUCGUGCCGCGGUUGGUUGAAAACUGAGUUCGUGGCCGAGUGCGCCAUGAUAAAAUGGUGGAUGAGCAAGGCUCGAGACCAAUCAUGCGCGCCUCUGUCAGGUUUGGACUCCCGGACCCCUGUGCGUCUCCGGACGCUCUUAGCGAGACCUCAGGUCAGGCGGGGCUACCCGCUGAGUUUAAGCAUAUCAAUAAGCGGAGGAAAAGAAACUAACAAGGAUUCCCCUAGUAACGGCGAGCGACG